GAUGAACGCUAGCUACAGGCUUAACACAUGCAAGUCGAGGGGCAGCACAGUGUAGCAAUACAUGGGUGGCGACCGGCGCACGGGUGCGUAACGCGUAUCCAACCUUCCCGAUACUCAGGGAUAGCCUUCCGAAAGGGAGAUUAAUACCUGAUGGUGUUCAAAUUCCGCAUGUUAUUUGAACUAAAGAUUUAUCGGUAUCGGAUGGGGAUGCGUGACAUUAGAUAGUAGGCGGGGUAACGGCCCACCUAGUCUACGAUGUCUAGGGGUUCUGAGAGGAAGGUCCCCCACACUGGAACUGAGACACGGUCCAGACUCCUACGGGAGGCAGCAGUGAGGAAUAUUGGUCAAUGGUCGGAAGACUGAACCAGCCAAGUAGCGUGAAGGAUGAAGGUUCUAUGGAUUGUAAACUUCUUUUAUACGGGAAUAAAACACCUUACGUGUAGGGUCUUGUAUGUACCGUAUGAAUAAGCAUCGGCUAACUCCGUG
rnacentral:rRNA from 1 species